rnacentral:rRNA from 1 species
ACCUCUUGAGAGCGGCGGACGGGUGAGUAAUACCUAGGAAUCUGCCUGGUAGUGGGGGAUAACGUUCGGAAACGGACGCUAAUACCGCAUACGUCCUACGGGAGAAAGCAGGGGACCUUCGGGCCUUGCGCUAUCAGAUGAGCCUAGGUCGGAUUAGCUAGUUGGUGAGGUAAUGGCUCACCAAGGCUACGAUCCGUAACUGGUCUGAGAGGAUGAUCAGUCACACUGGAACUGAGACACGGUCCAGACUCCUACGGGAGGCAGCAGUGGGGAAUAUUGGACAAUGGGCGAAAGCCUGAUCCAGCCAUGCCGCGUGUGUGAAGAAGGUCUUCGGAUUGUAAAGCACUUUAAGUUGGGAGGAAGGGCAUUAACCUAAUACGUUAGUGUUUUGACGUUACCGACAGAAUAAGCACCGGCUAACUCUGUGC